rnacentral:lncRNA from 10 species
GGGGUUUCACAUGUUGACCAGGAUGGUCUCGAUCUCUUGACCUCGUGGUCUGCCCUCCUCGGCCUCCCAAAGUGCUGGGAUUACAGGCAUGAACCACCAUGCCCGGCUGAAUAAUACUGCUUUUCUAAGUUAGAAAUGGUCACAUGCAGUAUUGGCAACUUUAUAUGGUCCAACUUGAUAUGACUUGGCUAUAGUAGGGUGCACAGAUGGAAAGUUUACAGCUUGAAGGUUCCCCUCUGUGCACACCUGUGGCAGCACCACAUCCAAGCACAGGACACCUCCAGUUCUGAAAAGCUCCCUCGCGCCCUCACCUGGCUAAGCCUCUGCCGACUACACUGGCUUCUACCACCGUAGAUCCGUUUUGCCUUUUGUGUCUGGUUUCAAUGCAUCGUAGGUCCACGACAUCCUUCCACAGGUACCGGCCACUCAUUCCUUUCCUUGCUGCAGGGGAGACCAUUGCGUGACUAAGCCACGACGUGUGUGUCCACUGUCCCGCUGGCGAAUGCUGGGGGUUUCAGGAGACAGGAUGCAGUGGGGAUGGGUGUUAGUUGGUGCUCCCAGGCACUUGUGUCUGUGGGGAGACCCAGGGUGGAACUGCUGCAUCAUAAGUGGCCCCCCACCUACGGAAAUGCACCAUUUCUCCCCAAGGAAACAAUCCAGCCAAUCCCAAAUGGCAGGACUGCAUGAGAGGUGGCCAUCCAGGGGGUCCAGAGUACACUGACAAUUAAAAAAAAUGAUCGGGGCUGGGCGCGGUGGCUCACGCCUAUAAUCCCAGCACUUUGGGAGGCCGAGGCGAUCAGAUCACCUGAGGUCAGGAGUUCGAGAGCAGCCUGGCCAACAUGGUGACAUCCUAUCUCUACUAAAAAUACAAAAUAUUAGCCGGGCGUGGUGGCAGACACCUGUAAUCCCAGCUACUCAGGAGCUUGAGGCAAGAGAAUCACUUGAAGCUGGGAGGUGGAGGUUGCAGUGAGCUGAGAUUGCGCCACUGCACUCCAGCCUGGGCAACAAGAGCAAAACUCCGUCUCAAAUAUAAAUAAAUAAAAAUAAAAAUAAAAAAUUAUCAUCAAGGUGGGCAUGUAAGAAGAUGCACGUGCUGUGAAAAACAGGCUAGAAGUUCCUCAGUGGGUCCAAUGUGUGAGUUACCAUAUGACCUAACAAUUCCACACCUAGGUAUUUGCCCAAAAGCAAUGAAAGCGUGUCUACACAAAAACUGUCCACAAGUGUUUACAGCAGCAUUCUUCACAACAGCCCGAAGGUGAGAGCAACCCAAGUGUCCAUUGCCUGAUGGAUAAACACAGCAUCUCCAUCCACACAGUGGAACACUGUUCAGCAGUAAAAAUGACGAGUGCUGAGGCAUGGCACUACGCAGCUGAACCUCAAAGACACAGUGCCGAGUGAGAGAAGCCGGACACCAAUGGACAAAUACCGUGAUUCCAUUUAUAGGAAGUGUCCGGGAGAGGCAAAUCCAUAGAGACAGAGAGCGGCUUGGUGGCGAUUAAUGCUGGAGAGGAGUCGGGGGUGACAGCUCAGGGGUACAGGGGUCUCUCUGGGGAGUGACGAAAAUGUUUUCAUGAUUGUGGUGAUGCUUGCACAACUCUUUGGAUAAACAAAAACUCACAGAAUUGUGUGUAUGGCUUGUGAAUUGUAUGUAUGGGUGAAUUGUAUGUAU